UGACCCUAGGUUAGGCGAGGCUACCCAAUGAGUUUAAGCAUAUCAAUAAGUAGAGGAAAAGAAACUAAUAAGGAUUUCCUUAGUAACGGCAAGCAAACUGAGAAAAGUCCACUAUGAGAAUCGGUUGCCCUCGACAUCUAAAUUAUAGUCUGGAGAAGUGUCCUCAGCAGCAGACCGGGCCCAAGUCCCCUGGAAGAGGGUGCCGGAGAGGGUGAGAGCCCUAUCGUACUUGGACCCUAUCGCACCGAGAGGCACUAUCAACGAGUUAGGUUGUUUGGGAAUACAACCCCAAUCGGGCAGUAAAUUCUGUCCAAGGCUAAAUGCUAGCGAGAAACCGAUAGCAAACAAGCAUCAUGAAGAAAAGAUGAAAAGGACUUUAAAAAGAGAGUUAAAGAGUACUUGAAAUUGUCAGGAGGAAAGCGGAUAAGGGCUAGUGAUGCAUCUCAAUUAGAUGUUGAACAGUAUGAGUUGGUUAGCCGAUCGACUCGAGAUAUGGAUCGAUGCGGAUUGCGAUGGCAGCCCAAGCCUGUGCUAUUAGUAUGCCCGUGGUAACAUCAUCACCGUGAUCGUGGCUAGAAGCGUGCACUAUCAUGGCAUAUCUCGACACCUACGGGCUCCUGACAUCGGCCCGUGAGCUCUCAAUUUGACCCGUCUUAAAACACGAACUAAGGAGUCUGGCAUGUGUGCGAGUCAAUAGGUAAGUAAACCCGUAAGGUAGAAGGAAGCUAAUUAGCAAGAUCUCCUAAUAGGUUACACUGCUAACGGACCUUGAUCUUUUAUGAAGGGUUCGAGUGAGAGCAUGCCUAUCAGGACCUUAAAGAUGGUGAAUUAUGCCUGAGUGAGCCGAAGCCAGAGGAAACUCUAGUAGAGGCCCGAAAUGAUAUUGACAUGCAAAUUAUUCAUCUGACUUGGGUAUAGGGGCAAAAGACUAAUCAAAUCAUCUAGUAACUAGUUCCCUUUGAAGUUUACCUCAGGAUAGCGGAGGCCAAGUACAAGUUGUAUCAAGUAACGCCAAUGAUUAAAGGCAUCAGGGGCACAAUACCCUCAACCUAUUCUUAAACUUUAAAUAGGUAGGACUGUGCAACUGCUCUAUUAAUCCGUGUCAUAUAAUCGAGAGCUCCAAGUGGGCUAUUUUUUAGAAGCAGAACGGGUGACGCAGGAUAAACUAGAAGUCACGUUACAGUGCCUAACUGUACACUAACCUAGAUCCCACAAAGGAUGUUUGUCAAUUAAGAUAGCAGGAUAGUGGUCAUGGAAGUUAAAAUUUGCUAAAGAGUAUGUAACAACUCACUUGCUAAAUCAACUAGCCCUAAAAAUGGAAACACUAAAGCGUGCGACCUAUACCCGACCAUCAGGGAAGUGACAGGCCUUGAUAAGAAGGAGGGCUCAAUGGUUACUACAAAACCUUGGGUACAAGCUCGAGCGGAGUGGUCGUCGAUAUAGAUCUUAGUAGUAGUAGCAAAUAUUCAAAUGAGAACUUUAAAGGCCAAAAAAGGGAAAGGUUCCAUGUUAACGGAACUUGCACAUGGGUUAGUUGAUCCUAAGAGAUGGGGGAAGCUUGUUUAAUAGCAUGUAACAUGCAUACUUUGAAAGGGAAUCAAGUUAAAAUUCUUGAAUUGGGACAUGGUGGCAGACAAAAAUGUUAGGGAGUCAGGAGACAUCUACAAAGGCCUCAAGAAGAGUUCUCUUUUUUGUUUAAUAGCCUGCCCACCCUAGAAACGGAUCAGCCAGAGGUAGGGUCUUAUUGCUAGAAGAGCACCGCACGUCACGUGGUAUCUAGUACAUCCCCAGUAGCCUUUAAAAAUCUAGAGGACCGAGUACCUCCCACGCUUGAUUGUACUCAUAACCGCAUCAAGUUUCUAGGAUGAACAGCCUUUAGUUGAUGGAAUAAUAUAGGUAGAAAGUUGGUAAAAUGGAUCCAUAACCAUAUAAAAAGGAUUAGCUCUAAGGGUUAGGCACGGGGGUCCCAGCCCCGAACCUGUUAGUUAUCAAUAGAUUGCUCGAGUUGCUCCCGCAAUAAGAGUAGGUUGUUGCGUGCUGGUCAGGGGAUGGAUUAAGAAUGGGCCCUUCAGGGUCCCUUCCUUGAGCGUCGAAUAGUCGACUCAUAAUUAGUACAGAUAAGGCAAAUUUGAUUGUUUAAUUAAAAUAAAGUAUUGUGAUAGUCCCUGUAGAUGUUAAUGCAAUGUAAUUUAUGCCCAGUGCUCUGAAUGUUAAAGUGAAGAAAUUCAACCAAGCACAAGUGAAUGGCGAGAGUAACUAUAACUCUCUUAAAGUAGCCAAAUGCCUUAUCAUCUAAUUAGUGAUGUGCAUAAAUAGAUUAACGAGAUUCCCACUAUCCUUGUCUAUUGUCCAAUGAAACUACAGCCAAGGGAAUGGGCUUGGCAGAAUCAGUAGGGAAAGAAGACCUAUUGAGCUUGACUUUAGUCCGACUUUGUGAAAUGACUUGAGCAGUGUAGGAUAAAUGGGAGCCGAAAAUGGUGAAAGUGGAAUAUCACUACUUUUAAUGUUAUUUGACUUAUUUCAUAAAUCGGAGGUAGGGUAACGCCCUUCUUUUUGGACCCAUGGCUCACUCAAGGAGCCGAUCCAAGUAGAAGACAUUGUUAGGUAGGGAGUUUGGCUAGGGUGGCACAUUUAUUAAAAGAUAAUGUAGGUGUCCUAAGAUGAGCUUAACAAGAAUAGAAAUCUUAUGUGGAAUAAAAGGGUAAAAGCUUGUUUGAUUUUGAUUUCUAGUAUGAAUAUGAAUUGUGAAAGAGUGGCCUAUCGAUCCUUUAGUCCUUCAGCAUUUGAAGUUAGAGUUGUCAAAAAAGUUACCAUAAGGAUACCUAGCUUAUGGCAGCCAAGCAUUCAUAGUGACGUUGCUUUUAAUCCUUUAAUGUCGGUUCUUCUAAUCAUUGUGAAGUAGAAUUUACCAAGUGUUGAAUUGUUCACCCACCAAUAGGGAACGUGACCUAAGUUUAGAUUGUCAUGAAAUAGGUUAGUUUUACCCUAUUGAUGACAAUGUCGUUAUAGUAAUUCAACCUAGUAUGAGAGGAAUUAUUGAUUCGCACAAUUGAUUAUCGUGCUUGGUUGAAAAGCCAUUAGCACGAAGCUAUCGUGUAUUGGAUUAUGACUGAAUGCCUCUAAGUCAGAAUUUGAGCUAGAAGCAACGUGUGCACUUGUCGUCUGUUUGCCAACCAGUAGUAAAGGCCUCAGCCCCUAAAGGCAUAUGUUGUUGGCGGUACCUUUAUGACAGAUAAGUCAUAAGGGAUGCUUUAAAGAAAUUCCUAUCAAGCGGUAGGUAGAAUCCUUUAUAGACGACUUAAAUAAGUGACUAGGUAUUGUAAGUGGUAGAGUGGUCUUACUGCUAUGAUCCAUUGAGAUUCAUCCAAAGUCACUUUGAUUCUU